UUAUAUGAGAACACGUGUGAGAAUUGCAGAAUCCCGUGACCCGAGUCUUUGACGCAAGUUGCGCCCGAAGCCAUCCGGUUGAGGGCACGUCUGCCUGGGCGUC
rnacentral:rRNA from 1 species